GCCUUAGCACAGUGGGAAACUGAUUGCCACUUGUCAGACGUUGAUACAGCGUUACAAAUAUAAUUAGAUAAUAUACCAAUCCGAGUGAGAACAUUAAAAGUGCACUCUCUUUCCAACCAAUUUCUGCAACAACUUGAGCAGACACCAAGUUCCCUAUAACCGACACCAGGCUAGUAGGGUUUGCCACAACUGACAGAAACCUCUUUUUAGUUGUGAACCAUUGUCCAUAUAGUUUUAUGUCAAGCAGCAAUAU
rnacentral:lncRNA from 1 species